GCUUUGGCCAUACCACCCCGAACACACCUGAUCUCAGUAGCUAAGCAGGGUCAGGCCUGGUUUGUACUUGGAUGGGAGACCGCCUGGGAAUACCAGGUGCUCUAAGCU
ensembl:rRNA 5S_rRNA 5S ribosomal RNA